UGGGGAAUAUUGCACAAGGGAGGGAACUCUGAUGCAGCGACGCCGCGUGAACGAAGAAGGCUUUCGAGUCGUAAAGUUCUUUUAUAUGGGAAGAUAAUGACGGUACCAUAAGAAGAAGCCCCGGCUAACUACGUGCCAGCAGCCGCGGUAAUACGUAGGGUGCUAGCGUUGUCCGGAAUCACUGGGCGUAAAGGGUUCGCAGGCGGAAAUGCAAGUCAGGUGUAAAAGGCAGUAGCUUAACUACUGUAAGCAUUUGAAACUGCAUAUCUUGAGAAGAGUAGAGGUAAGUGGAAUUUUUAGUGUAGCGGUGAAAUGCGUAGAUAUUAAACAGAAUACCGGUGGCGAAGGCGACUUACUGGGCUCAUUCUGACGCUGAGGAACGAAAGCGUGGGUAGCAAACAGG
rnacentral:rRNA from 1 species